UCCUACGUGAGGCAGCAGUGGGGAAUUUUGGACAAUGGGCGCAAGCCUGAUCCAGCAAUGCCGCGUGGGUGAAGAAGGCCUUCGGGUUGUAAAGCCCUUUAGUCGGGGAGGAAAAUAGCGGGGGCUAAUACCACGAGAAAUGACGUACCCGCAGAUAAGCCCGGUUUCG
rnacentral:rRNA from 1 species